UUCGCUUUUCUCUGGUGGCCGAUCGUGGUCGACGGCUCGUGGAGCUUGCUCUCCUUCGUCGACGGCUCAGCUUCACCCGUCGUCGAAUCGAAGACUGAAGAGUCGCUCCCCAUCAUUAUUUAUACUAAUCGGCGGCUUUGGGGCACUGGGUUGAGGAGAAAAAGCACAUUCGGGAUUAAAGAACAUCAAUUAAUUUCUACGCAUUUUGGUAAGUAUGUAUUUGAGCAAAUUUCCGGUGGAGGGAAUUUAAAAACCAUGCAUUUGAUUAAAUAGCAUGUAUUUGAAAUGUAAGGGAUUGAUAGUAGAGAUUUUGUUGAAAUUCCUUGUUUGGUAUCUAUGUUAAAUUGGGAUUUGAGAAGUUAAGGUCGGAUUUGAGAAGCGUAUAUUGGGGUGGGAUUUGAAAUCUUACCUAUAUUGGUGGUAAGAUUUGAGAAUCCUCACAAGCAUGUAUUUGAAAGUUUAAAUUACAUGUAUUUGAUCUAUUACUUUUACAUACCAAACAAGGGAUUUAAUCAAAUACGUGGAUUUUGAAAUACAUAGUUUAAAACCAUCCCAUACCAAAGCUUCCUUGA
rnacentral:lncRNA from 1 species